UGCCCAGAUCUAAGGAAUAGCCACUGGAAACGGUGAGUAAUACCUUAUACGCCCUUCGGGGAAAGAUUUAUCGGAUUUGGAUCGGCCCGCGUUAGAUUAGGUAGUUGGUGGGGUAACGGCCUACCAAGCCUACGAUCUAUAGCUGGUUUUAGAGGAUGAUCAGCAACACUGGGACUGAGACACGGCCCAGACUCCUACGGGAGGCAGCAGUGGGGAAUCUUGGACAAUGGGCGCAAGUGAUCCAGCCAUGCCGCGUGAGUGAUGAAGGCCUUAGGGUCGUAAAGCUCUUUCGCCAGGGAUGAUAAUGACAGUACCUGGUAAAGAAACCCCGGCUAACUCCGUGCCAGCAGCCGCGGUAAUACGGAGGGGGUUAGCGUUGUUCGGAAUUACUGGGCGUAAAGCGUACGUAGGCGGAUCAGAAAGUUGGGGGUGAAAUCCCGGGGCUCAACCCCGAACUGCCUCCAAAACUCCUGGUCUAGAGUUCGAGAGAGGUGAGUGGAAUUCCGAGUGUAGAGGUGAAAUUCGUAGAUAUUCGGAGGAACACCAGUGGCGAAGCGGCUCACUGGCUCGAUACUGACGCUGAGGUACGAAAGUGUGGGGAGCAAACAGGAUUA
rnacentral:rRNA from 1 species